UCUCCGUUGGUGAACCAGCGGAGGGAUCAUUACAGGACUCGCAAGACUCCUACAGCCCUGUGAACUUAACUAUAAGCACGUUGCUUCGGCGGGUGUCUCGGAGGGGGUUCUCCCUCCCCGAGACGCUAAACCCGCCGGCAGCCUACUAUACUCUGUCUCUUUGCGUUGGCAUCUCGAGUACAAUCAAACAAGUUAAAACUUUCGACAACGGAUCUCUUGGUUCUG
rnacentral:misc_RNA from 1 species